AACCGACCACACGGGAGCCCCGACGAGGGGCUGAGACCGGACCAUGCACCGUCCGGGACCGUUGAACCUGAUCCGGUUAACACCGGCGGAGGAAGUGAGGACUUCAGCCAU
rnacentral:ncRNA from 2 species